rnacentral:sRNA from 1 species
UAAAACGGAAAUGUUUAACGCUCUCGUAU